CGCCGCCACCCUCGCCAGCGCCGUCCCCCGCCUGCGGAGGUAGCAGCGUCGGCGGUCCCUCAGGCUCUAACUUGACCGCCACCUCCGUCUGCUCCUCCGCCAGCGCCGCCAUCUUGCGGCUGAGCCACCUCGCGCCGUCAAGCGUGAUUGCGUUUUCGCCACAUGGAGGGCGGGGAGGAGCGUUUUACGACAGCUUGGGAAGGCAAUAUACGGCAGUAGGAGGGGCGAGAAAGAAGGCGAAAAAGAAUGGGAACUAGAGCACUUUCAAAAGUGAGUGACAGAAAGGCAGGAAGUGGGAGGUGGCGACCGCCUAUAGCAUUUGCGUGUAAUAAUUACCGUUUAUUUCAGACCAGCUAUUUUUAGGCACUGUGAGAGAUAUUUUACAUUUUAUGACCUCCUUUAAUUCAACAAUCUUAUAAGGGAGUGUUAGCCUCACUUUACAGGUGACUGAACCGAGACCCAAAGAGGUUAAAAUAACUUGCCAAAGUCAGGCAAGAAGAAAGUGAGUGUCAAGAUUCCAAUCCAGGUCUCUUAUAAACGUAGCCAGAAGGAAGCUUCUGAGAUACUGGUAAUGUUUUAUAUUUUGAUCUGGGUGGUGGUGACUUUUUUUUUUCAACUUUUACUUUUGUAAAAAUUAAGCUACACGCUUUAAGUUUUGUGAACUUUACAGCAUGUAUGUUAUAUAUAGUUGUUAUUUUAAAUUUUGGUUUAGUUUAUUUAUUUAUUUUGAGGGAAAGAGCGAGAGAGAGACAGCAAGCAGGAGAGGUGUAGAGAGUGAGGGAGAGAAAGAAUCCCAAGCAAGCUGUCUGCACUGUCAGCGCAGAGCCUGACGCCGGGCUCAGAUUCACGAACUGUGAGAUCAUGACCUAAGCUGAAAUCAAGAGUUGAUGCUUAGUGGACUGAGCCACCGAGGUGCCCCUAAAAACAAUUUUCUUAACGUUUAUUUUUGAAAGACAGACACAGAAUUCCAAGCCCGCUCCAGGCUCUGAGCUGUCAGCACAGAGCCCAACAAAGGCUUGAGCCCAUGAACCUGAUGAGAUCAUGACCUGAGCCAAAGUCAGAAGUUUAACCGACAGAGCCACCCAGGCGCCCCUAUAUAUUUCAAUAAAAAUGGAGCUAUAAGCCACCUUGGCUAAUAUGUAUACCCAGAGGGAGAGGCAGAAGCCCAGCAUUGGAAAAAGCUGGGAAAGGGAGUGGGCUUUAAUUUUCUGCUCUGCUGUGUACUCCCUGAAAAUGCAACUACUGUGGAGCCAAGAAGAAGAGGAUAUGCAGUGAAAACAGUAGUGGGGACGCCCCCUUGCUCUUGGGACCAGAGUUCUCCUCUCAGAGUCUUAGGUGCCUGCCUGGCCUCUACUGUCAUCCCACAUCCAUUGCCACGAUGGACCUGCCUAUGGACUGGUGUGAGAGAGAAUAGAAAAAUAAAAAGGAAAGUUUGGAUUUCCCUCAUUCUUUGUGACCUACAGUGGUCCCCUUUCCUGCCCCUGAAACCAUGAUAGAGGAUUUCUCUCAGAGUUCUAUCUUACACACCUGGUGCACAGUUCUGAAUUUCAGCUUGUGUUUGAGUCCAGGCCAGGAGAUACCACAGGAAAAACAAAAUGGGAAAUGCAGUGAUGGUUCAGUUGUAGUUAGAGUUCUGGUUGCCUUCCCCAAUCUGCCUCUCACGAAUUGCAUUCUAGAGUCAAUAGAUAGCUGUUCCAUGCAUUCUGUCCAAAGCUUUUACCUGUAUUCAGUGAGAAAUACAGAGUGAAGCACUUAAUUAUCACAACCCAGUAAUCUUAGCUACAUUGGUUGAUACGUAUUUUAGUUUAUAUCUUGUCUUAUCAUUAGAGACUUUGAACAUCUUUUCAUAUUUUGGCACUGUUUUUAUAUUACUUUGGGGGAUUAAGUUUUAUCUUUGUUCCCUAAUUUUUAAGUUUUUUUCAUCUGUUUAGCAUAUUAGGUCCUUAUCUGAGAUAUGUGUUGCAAAUACUUUCUCCCAGUUUGGCCAUUGUCUUUCAUACUGUUUAUAUUUUGGGGACCAUGCAGAAGUAUUUUUUAUGAUGUCAAACAUGUCAACUUAUUUAAUUGCAUCUGGAUUUUGAAUCAUAAAUAGACUUUCACCUAAGUUAAGGAAAGAUUCACCCAUGUUUUCCCCUAGAGCUUAUACAUUUUCCAAUGAGCUCUCUCGUGGGUUUGGGACUGAAUCUUGAAUAUGAUGUGAGGUAUGAGUCUUUUUCAAAAGUGUUUGAGAAAUCCCACAACUGGAGCACCUGGCUGCCUCAGUCAGUAGAGUAUGUGACUCUUGAUCUCGGGGUUGAGAGUUUGAGCCCAUCUUGGGUGUAGAGAUUACUUAAAAAUAAGAAAACCUUUCUAAAAAAUCCCACAAUCUUCUCAAGUUUGGCAAUUCACUAAAAGUAUUCAUAAGACUCAAUUGCAGGUUAUUCUCAAGGCUAAAGCAUAUUAUAGGUAAGGAUGCAGAGCAAAAGCAGCAGGAAGAUGUUCAUUGGCAGAGUCCAGAGAGGCCAAACACAGGAUUUUGCAUCUUUUCCAUCUAGGCCCACACAGACAUGCUUUCUCUCUACCAUCAAAUUACAGAGACAAACAUGGGGCACCUGGAUGGCUCAGUCCAACUUCGGCUCAGGUCAUGAUCUUGUGGUUUGUGACCUCGAGCCCCCGCAUUGGGAUCUGUGCUGACAGUUCAGAGCCUGGAGCCUGCUUCAGAAUCUGUGACUCCCUCUCUCUCUGCCCCUCCCCCCUUCAUGCUCUGCCUUUCUCUGUCUCUCAAAACAUAAAGAAAUGUAAAAAAAAAACUUUUAAAAUUUUUCACAUGCCUAUAACCCCUCAGUGAUUUCUCACCUCAUUUAUAAUAAUAUGCAAAUAGUUUCCCUUGAUUCAAAUCUCCUGCUUACUUGAAGCCUAUGUCUCCAACUUAUCUCCCAUUCAUUUGCCGCACACUUUGCUUAGGCAACUCUUCCCCUCCACCUCCAUUUUCUUACGGUUGACUCCUAUUAUACCUUCUCCACAGGUCUAUCGACGGGUGUGGUAGUUCACACUUAAUGCGAGGAUAUUAAUUGUUCUACGGUUGGGGUCAGCAAACUAUAGCCCACUGUCUUUCUUUAGAAAUAAACUUUUAUUGGCACAAAAUCAGAGUUAUUUGUUUAUAUAUUAUCUAUGGCUGUUUCUGUGCUACAGCAACAGAGUUGAGUAGCUACAACAGAGGCUACUCAACUGGCCCAUAAAGCCAAACAUAUUUACUAUAUAGAACUUUACAGUUGCGGAGCCUGGGUGGCUCAGUUGUUUAAGUGUCUGACUCUUGAUUUGUGCUUAGGUCAUGAUCCCAGGGUUGUGGGAUCAAGCCCCACAUCGGGCUCCAUGCUGAGCAUGGAGCCUCCUGAGAUUCUCUCUCUCCCUCUGUCCCUUUCCCCUACUUUUGCUCUCUCUCUAAAACAAACAAACAAAGUUAAAUAAUUAAAUAAAUUAAAAAUAAAUUUAAAGAACUUAAAGGGUGCCUGGGUGGCUCCGUUGGUUGAGUGCCAACUUCAGCUCAGGUCAUGAUCUCUCAGUUCUUGAGUUGGAGCCCUGGGUUGGACUCUGUGCUGACAGUUCAGAGCCUGGAACCUGCUUCGGAUCCUAUGUCUCCCUCUCUCUCUGCUCCUCUCCCACUCGGUUGCUUGGAAGACUUAUACAAGAUAUGUAAAAGUGUUCAUUUUCAACUGUUGGCUAAAGGACUCUCUACCUCUGUGGACCCAAACUGAUCUUAAGGAGAUUGUUGCUCUGUUUCAGUAUCUUCCAGUGGUUUUCCAUAGGCUGAGUCCUUUUCUUUCCUCAGUGGCCCUCCUGAUAAUAGUCUCAGCCAAGAAGAAUGGGUUGCCCUAUUGUGCAGGUCUAAAUUGGUCUAAAUUGGUCUAUUGGUCUAAAUUAAGCUAAACCAACAUUUAGGACUUAUCCAUAUAUCCAUACCCCUACCCCAAGUGACAAAAUUUUGCCUUAUAUACUUUAAAAGAUUUGGUUCUCAGAACUAUCAUUGGAGACAUUUCGUUAGCACACACACACACAUACACACACACACACACACACACACACAAACUCUUUAAUUAUUAUUUUAUUUUUUAAGGGUAGAAAAGGGCUAUCUAACAUUCUUUAAUACAUGAUAAUGAUGUGCACCAGACAUGUAUCUGUGGGUUCAUGAAAACAUGUCAGAAAAAAACUGUGCUUAAUCUUACUUAGUCUUUCUUUCUUGGGUUCAGUGUCAUUUUACAUGAAGGCUUAUUAUUAUUAUUAUUAUUAUUCAGGAAUUAUUUCUAUUGUACAAUUUUUAUGACCUCUUUUUUUGUCUUCCAAGUCUUUAAACAUAAUUUUGAAAAGAAAAAAAGAAUGUAUCAUUUUCAUAUUUGCUACUGUACCCUCACUGUUUUUAGCUUUUACACUUAAGUCCAUGAUCCAUUUGUGUGUAUGUAUUUUAAGUAGGCUUCACAUCCAGCACAGAGCCCAACACAGGGCUUGAACUCACAAUCCUGAAAUCAGGACCUGAGAUGAUGGAGCACCUGGGUGGCUCAGUUGGUUAAGUGUCCCGAUCUGGAAUUUGGUUCAGGUCAUGAUCUCACUUUUUGUGAGUUCAAGCCCCACGUCUGAGCACAGAGCUCAUUCUCUCUCUCUCUCUCUCUCUCUCUCUCUCUCUCUCUCUCUCUCAAAAUAAAUAAAUAGGGCACCUGGGUGGCUCAGUCAGCUGGACAUCCAACUUUGGCUUAGGUCAUUAUCUUGCAGUUCGUGAGUUCAAGCCCUCAUCAGACUCUCUGCUCUCAGCGCAGAGCGCACUUUGGAUCCUCUGUCUCCCUCUCUCUCUGCCUCUCCCCCGCUGGCUCUCUCUCUCAAAAGUAAACAUUAAAAAUUUUAAAAUAAAUAAAUAAACUUUAAAAAGUGAGAUCAAGGGGCGCCUGGAUGGCUCAGUCAGUUAAGCAUCCGACUUUGGCUCAGGUCACAAUCUCGUGGUCCAUGAGUUUGAGCCCCGUAUGGAGGUCUGUGCUGACAGAUCAAAGCCUGGAGCCUGCUUCAGAUUCUGUGUCUUCCUCUCUCUCUGCUCCCUCCCUGCUCAUGCUCUGGCUCUCUCUGGCUCUCAAAAAUAAAUAAACAUUAAAAAAA